GGGGAAGAGCCGGGUGCGCGCGACCCGGGCGGCCCCGCGCGCCGCUCCGCGGGGCCUCGCGCGCGGCGGGCGGCACCGGCCCCCCCGGAACAGCAAAAAACACGCGGGCAGCUCUGAUUUAUGGAAGUACCUGAAGAGCCCGGAGCUGGGCCCACGCUCCCGAGGGAUGCUGCUGGGAAGCUCACCCCGAGAAGGGGACAGGCUACCCAAACCUUGGACAAAGCUGUAGAAAUCACACAAGACAGAUGGUGUCAAGAGUCAGGUCAGGCACGGUGGCACGCACUGGUAAGGUUUAACCUUUAUUUCCCUCCCCAAAAAUGGAAUUUAUUUCUACGUGACAACUUACAAACUGAUGUUAAGUAUGUGCCUGAGCUUUGCUCCUGCGGCCCCAUCCACUCCUGUGAAAAUGCCUGAAGAGGAGGAACAAGGAAUUGCCAGGUUGUUUAAUCUUUUACUCUUUGCCACUUGACAGAUGGUAACUCCCAACAAUUACUAAUCCAAAAGAAACACGGAAGAGGAUCUUGUGGCUCGGAUAGAAACGAGUUUUUAAGAAGCUUGUGCUUCCCAGUGCUGAGCAGACGGGAAUUAUCGUGCAAGUACUGUUCCCUGAACACAGGGAAUGAUGCCAGGGAUAGCACCAGAGGUGGGGGGGUUAGUGUGCAGGCCUGGGAGAGGAGGGACGAUUACCUGAAAAAAAUCUACACUAGAACUGGAAAUCAUUUCCAAUCCUAUUUUUAAAUUUUGUUCCCAGCCUCAGUUACCUCAUCUGUAACUCAGGAGUAGUAAUUUUUACCUGCCUUUUGGCCAACUCCUUCAGGUUCAUCCUAGAGUCUUAGUUUCUUUUGUGCCAGGCAGAUUUCUAGAAAAGCUUUGUGGAAAUAAAAAGCAGCAUUACCCCUGUGACAGGGACAUGGGCCUCAGGGGGGUGGGAGCCCACAAGCCCCAGAAAGGCCAGCUCGAAAGUUAAAGCAAUGGUCAAAACUCUGAAAAUAAAUGCCAGUUCAGACAGCUUUAUCAAUCAACCCACUUUUAUUAUUAUUUAGUUGGAAAUACAGGGUUUUUUUUCUUUUUAGAACACUUGGCAGCUGAAUAUUAGCGACACUUUUCCAAUCAACUUUGCUCGACUGGCCAGCAAAGGUGUCAGUAAGCUAAACUGAGUCCACCAUCUUGCAACUAACACUCCUUUGCACUUCAAAUACUGCCAUAAAUAAGUCCUGGAGAACCUCGUGUUGUGCGAGAUACCAGCCAGCAGCAGCCUGCCAGCACCAGCCCUGCCACCGCUGCCGAGCCCCCCAAGUCCACCGGCUGCGUGGAUGUGGUCAUAGCUCAGGUUUGAUUCAGAAUUCUGGUAUUUUAGGACACAGAUGCGGUACAUCCUGAAGUGGUCUUAGGCAAGUAAAUGCAGCUUUAAGCAUUAUUCUUCUGUGGCAGGUCGGUUCCUUGACUGGUGGGUUACCGAGUCCUCCGCCGCACUCUCUCCUGCAAGAAGCACAGCUUUGCCUUUCAUAGCCGGGCCCAGCGUCACCCACGGGCCCGGCUGGAGGCCUGUUCGCAGGCAGGACGUGCUGGGGAUGGGCGCUGUGGCAAAAGGAGCCUUGGUGGAGGCAUCUCAGAGACCUCAACCAGCACUGGUGGCUGAGCGAGCUCAGGCUGGGGGGACCUGGUGCCCAGUUGCGUCUGAGCUGUGAAAGAGCUGGCUCUGGCAGGGGAAAAGGCAUCCACCCUCAGCCUGUGAAUCAGCCAGCUUGUUCUAGGGGGAGUUUUUACAAGUUUGCAAAGCUCUGGUGGAUAAAGGCUCCAGAUUCAGAUGCAGGCUGCUGCAAGUUCACACAUCUUCCUAACCUUCCUUUUAAAAAAAAAAAUAAAAGAAAAAUGAAAAAUAA